rnacentral:rRNA from 1 species
UUCGGGUUGUAAAGCACUUUUGUCCGGAAAGAAAUCCUGGUGGCUAAUAUCCGCCGGGGAUGACGGUACCGGAAGAAUAAGCACCGGCUAACUACGUGCCAGCAGCCGCGGUAAUACGUAGGGUGCGAGCGUUAAUCGGAAUUACUGGGCGUAAAGCGUGCGCAGGCGGUUUUGUAAGACCGAUGUGAAAUCCCCGGGCUUAACCUGGGAACUGCAUUGGUGACUGCAAGGCUUGAGUAUGGCAGAGGGGGGUAGAAUUCCACGUGUAGCAGUGAAAUGCGUAGAGAUGUGGAGGAAUACCGAUGGCGAAGGCAGCCCCCUGGGUCAAUACUGACGCUCAUGCACGAAAGCGUGGGGAGCAAACAGGAUUAGAUACCCUGGUAGUCCACGCCCUAAACGAUGUCAACUGGUUGUCGGGUCUUCAUUGACUUGGUAACGUAGCUAACGCGUGAAGUUGACCGCCUGGGGAGUACGGUCGCAAGAUUAAAACUCAAAGGAAUUGACGGGGACCCGCACAAGCGGUGGAUGAUGUGGAUUAAUUCGAUGCAACGCGAAAAACCUUACCUACCCUUGACAUGUACGGAACCCUGCUGAGAGGUGGGGGUGCCCGAAAGGGAGCCGUAACACAGGUGCUGCA